rnacentral:lncRNA from 1 species
CAAGCUCUCACUGCUUUGAUUCUUUGUUUCCGGUUGGUUUGGCUUUUGUCAGAGGUGGUAUGUUUUUUGUUCAUUUGUAUGUUUUUAAAGGCAGAGUCUUACCCAGCUCCUGCUUGGAGCUCACAAGUGAAGCAGAGGCUGAGGUCUCCGGCAUACACCACCACAUCCUGUCCCCUCUUGGUUUGUUUUCAAAUCCACGGUUUAUAUGUAAUGUUCUUGGCCUGUGGCAAGCGGUGAGCCAAGCAGUUGCCAUGACGACCUCUCUUGAUCUAAACCAUCCCCUGAAACAGGUUCUGUGUCUACCACUCUACACAGUGGGGAAGCGUGCUCUGAGCAGCCAUGGGGCCUUCUCUAUGACCUUCUUCAAACCUCGAAAGUUCCUUUGAGGUGAAUGUGGUGGCCACUGUUUUAUGGGUAGAAAAGUCGAGACCUAGAGCCGGGAAAGGUGCAUCCAGGUUCAGGCAGCUGUAGCUAUGUCCGGUUCCGGCUCUGGGAAGUGACUCAGGAGGUUUGCCUGCAAGAGAGAAGUCGUUUGGCCAUGACCCUCUGAGAGCCCAGCAGUUGUGUGAGGACUGUGGUUAGCCAUGAAGCCUCACUGCCUGUCAGCUCCAUGCAGGGCCUCUCAGAUCCUAGGAAGAAGGUUUCUAGUGAGAUUGGAGUCCAGGGCCAGCCUCCUUCAAGCCCCCAACAGAAGUCAACAGGACUUAGGAAUCAGGCUCUGAACUUGAACUUACCAGGAAAGGGCUUCAAGGUGCUCAGAAUGAGAGAAAGAAUGGACAGGACAGGUGGCACCUGUGAUGUCCCCAACAAAGUCGCAUAUUCAUCAACUCCGCAAUGCACCUGCUGUGUUACCAUGAGCAUUUUGCAUACCCUUUCUGGAUACAUCCACAUCACUACAUGGGGUGUGUGGGGAGAAACACCAUUUCGAAGGGUUUUUGUAAGGAGAAUAAAUCAUGUAAAGUGAUCACAGAGCUACUCAAUAAAUGCAACAUAGCAUUUCUCUUCUUUUCUAGA